rnacentral:miRNA from 1 species
GCCGGGCGUGGUGGCGGGCGCCUGUAAUCCCAACUACUCAGGAGGCUGAGGCAGGAGAAUCACUUGAACCCGGGAGACAAAGGUUGCAGUGAGC